UGGUUUUGCUGUGUUUGAAGUUUUCGGUAGUUUGUUUUUUUGCUUUUUAAAAGUUUAAAUUUACUCUUAACUAAUUUCCAUAAUUUUUAAGCAGUCAGUUCUUGCUGAAUCUGUGCCAUGGAAAAUCGAAGCAGCCACCCGAACCCAAAUCUUGAAUGGAUUGGCAGCACUAGAUGCCAAAAUCAGUGAAAUCGAUACCAUCAACAUCGAUCUAUCCUACAUGUCGCUAGGUGGAGCAAAAAUUGUCUCUUCGUUCAUCUUCAGUAGCACCGCGGGCCAGCUGCGGACUGUUUGUGGCGCCUUGUUCGAUGCAGACCAGGAAAAAUCGAACAUUGUCAGCAAAACCUUCACCAAGAUUGAUGUUGUGAGGACUCAAAUGGCUAAGAUGCAAGACGUAGAUAACGGUCUGGAAACAAACUAUGGCAAGGGCAAUGCUGUUUUAAAACGCAAAAUUUGGAAGGCGAUGAACACAAGCGUUGAAGGCAUUUGGAAGGCUUUACGUCCUGAUUCGACGAAAGCUGGUUGAGCGAUGUGUCCAGAAGCAGCUCGAUUAUCUCCCGAACAUCGUGCUGAUGAUGAAAGAAUUGCUUGCACCGUUUCGCGAAGUUGUCUUAGGCCCAAAUCAGAGCUUGAAAUCCUGCAGCAAAGCUGUGGGUGAUAGGUUCUGCUAUUCAGACUUUGGGAGCACGUUUUUGGGCAAUGUACCUGCAACUGAAAUUUCUGAAGAUAUGCGGAUGGUGGAAAAGAUGAACGAGAUUGUGGUAAACAUAUAUUCAACGGUUAAUAAUGAAGUCGGAAGUGCCUUUGACCGCAUUGAUUCGUGUUUGGUGGUAAAUUACCCAAUUGAAGAAGCAAUUGGAAAAUUUGUUAAUGCAAUGAAUGCUUGUGGUAAUAAGACAGUGGUUUAACCCUUUUAGAUCCGAUGGGUUAAUAUUGUGCAAUAUGGUUGAAUGGUCAAAAUAAAGUUGUCCAAAAUUAGUAAGCACAGCUAUUUUUCAGUUCUCCUUUGGGUCCUAAACAACUCCCCAAAAUUUGGGAACACCGGGUUUAGUCCCCACUUUGCACAAAGCAAAGAUUCGGUAUCCGGAACAUCUGGGGUGGCCAUAUUAGGGACAGCAACAUUCUAACAUUUUUGCAAGACCAUCAUCUGGGGCGAAUCGAGUCUACAGUCAGUAUAGGGAAAGCAGGUUUUAGAGUACUUAAUAGUUUGAAAUUUGGUAAUAAUAGUUUUAUCAUAAAGUUCUACCUAAGUCCAAAAACUUUUAAAACCAGUAUCCGGAACAUCCUAUAUUGGUUCUGCGUGACCGGAAGUUGAUCUAUGUGACUCAGAAGUAAAGUGCAAUACUGGUUGAUAGUUUUUGGUAUACUAAUUUUUGACAACAACUUUUUGAGAUAGGUUGUUUUGUGUCCCCUUGACGGGAGAUUAUUUGGAUGAGAUGGGUCACUUUUUUUAAUAUGGCGCAACUUUAAGCACUCAAAUCGGUUGAAAACUGGCUGAGAUAAAUCGAUUUUGCUUUAAAAACACACACACACACACACACGAAGUCCCGAGUCUCUGUGGGAUUAAUCGGGCUAAACAAAAUUAUUUCUAUACUUUUAAAUUUCUCAUGAUUUUCAUCAAUGAAAACUGGUUUGAAUCGGGAAAACGGAAUGCAUUAUUGGAUUCUUUGGACAAUUUUUCAGUAAGAGAAGAUAAAAUUAGUUUGUAAGUAACAAAUUUGAUGUGUUUUUGAAACAAAAUUCUAAAAAACCUUUAAAAUCAUAGACAUUUUUAGUAAACAAAUUUCUCAUAACAUGUGAAAACUUUUGAUUCGUGCUUUGUAUUCAGUUUAAAAUGCAACUUAUCAAAAUUAUAAUGAACAUAACUUGUUUUAAAGAAAUUCAGGCCAAAUUCGAGCUUUAAAGCAAUUUUACGUUAAAGUCCUUGCACCUCAACCAGAGCUUGUGCACUAAGAAUUUUGUUACAGAUAUUUAAGUAUCUUCAAAACUACGGGAACUAUCGAUAUAAUUUUUCAUUCAUCCCCUAAAGUACUGUUUACAAAAUAAUAUACAACAAAUUUUGACUAUUUUUACAAUCAGAUUGUUGCAGGAUUGGGUCCGUUAGUUUGACUAUUUUUGAAUAAGAAGAAAACAACUUCCUUGGGUGCUGUGCACCCUUAAAUAGAUAUUUAUUUUGUUAAAAGCUUAUGAACUUAGUUAACUAAACAAAACAAUUGUUUUUAUUUACUUCAAGCUAUAGCAGCAACCUACAUUUGACGUUAAAAUUAAAUUUGAACCCUUUAAAUCUGAUUUUAACUCAAUGACCCCCUGAUUACGGUAACUGAAAUGUUUUUUUAUGGACCGUGGAUCCCUUUGACUGAUCAUGUUAAAUGGCCCAAACCCCCUUCCCCCCACUCCGUGGAAAAUUAUUAAAAUUAUUCAUACAAAAAAUCCAAUUGCCAAUUUUGAGCCAGUUAAGGUUAAAGGGUCGCUUUUUGCCUUCCUCACCUUACUGAGGAAGAGCUAUAAAAUCACUCGAAAAAUGAACUUCCUAAUUCGACCUCGUGAAGGUGGGUCACGUAUACCUAUCGACUCAGCAUCAUGUUCUGAGCAAAUGUCUGUGUGGAUGUGUGUAGGUGGGUGGACAAAAAAAUUGUCACUCGAUUAUCUCCGGACUGGAUGAACGGAUUUUGACCAUAUUAGUCUCAUUCGAUCCAUCUUGGGGUCCCAUAGGUCUCUAUUUAAAAUCAGCAAGUUUAGUUAAGUACUUCAAAAGUUAUGCUAAAAAAACGAUUUUGGAGUAUGUCCGGAAGAUUGUAAAAAGGGUGGUUUUUGCUAGAAACCCUAUCAUGUUAUACAUUUUCAGAAAGGUAUUAAAAAGACCUUUCCAAUGAGCCCAAAACAUUGAAGAUCUGACAACCCUAUCAAAAGUUAUUAGCACUUAAGUGUUAUUUAUACACUUUUUGGAGGCCGGAUCUCAGAUAUUUCAAUGAAAAUGAUGUCCGGGUCCAUCAUGCAACCCAUCGUUAGUUAGAUAAUCGACGGAUCUUUCAAAUGAGCUUAAAACAUCACGGAUCUGACAACCCUAUCAACAGUUAUUGGCACUUAAGUGUUAUUUAUACACUUUUUGGAGGCCGGAUCUCAGAUAUUUCAGUAAAAAUUAUGUCCGGAUCAAUCAUGUGACCUGUCGUUAGUUAGAUAAUCGAAAGACCUUUCAAAAGAGCCCAAAACAUCACGGAUCUGACAACCCUAUCAAAAGUAAUUGGCACUUAAGUGUUAUUUAUACACUUUUUCGAGGCCGGAUCUCAGAUAUUUCAGUAAAAAUGAUGUCCGGAUUCAUCAUGCGACCUUUCGUUAGUUAGACAAUCGAAAGACCUUUCAAAUGAGCCUUAUACAUCGAGGAUCUGACAACCCUUUUAAAAGUUAUUAGCACUUAUGUGUUAUUUAUACACUUUUUAGAGGUUGGAUUUCAGAUAUUGUGAUAAAAAUAUUGUCUGAAUCUUCCAUGCGAACUAUCGUUGGAUAGGUUUUUUUUAUCAGACCUUGCCGAUGAGCCAGAAAAAUGGAAGGUCUGCGAACUCUCUCAAAAGAAAUGAGCAAUAAAGUUGAUUUGUUAAACAUGUUAAGGGAUUGUUGCUAUUUUUACUGAAUGUAUUGACUUUAUGAAUGUGAGGAAGGCACCAACCACCUAAAGGUGAAUUAAGUAACGUUUUAUCGUUGAAGUUUAUAUGGGGAAAAUCGCGAAAAUAUAUGGGGAAAAACAUCGCUUCAGGAUUUCGGCAGCAGGUGGCGCAGGUCUCGCCCAAAAUUGCCCAAGUGUGAGAUUCUUCUAGGAAGUUCAAUUUCCUACAACUUUGUCGAAGGGU